AUUGAACGCUGGCGGCAUGCCUUACACAUGCAAGUCGAACGGGAGCACGGGGGCUUGCACCUGGUGGCGAGUGGCGAACGGGUGAGUAAUACAUCGGAACAUGUCCUGUAGUGGGGGAGAGCCCGGCGAAAGCCGGAUUAAUACCGCAUACGAUCUACGGAGGAAAGCGGGGGACCUUCGGGCCUCGCCCUCCAGGGUUGGCAGAUGGCUGAUUAGCUAGUUGGUGGGGGAAAGGCCUACCAAGGCGACGAUCAGUAGCUGGUCUGAGAGGACGACCAGCCACACUGGGACUGAGACACGGCCCAGACUCCUACGGGAGGCAGCAGUGGGGAAUUUUGGACAAUGGGCGAAAGCCUGAUCCAGCAAUGCCGCGUGUGUGAAGAAGGCCUUCGGGUUGUAAAGCACUUUUGUCCGGAAAGAAAUCCUUGGCCCUAAUACGGUCGGGGGAUGACGGUACCGGAAGAAUAAGCACCGGCUAACUACGUG
rnacentral:rRNA from 1 species